AUGUGGAAGCAAUUUAUCGGCAAGCUGUCGUGGAAAUCGCUGAAAUCUGGCCCUGGAGGCAACGGCGGAGGGGGCUCGCCCACGGCGAAGUCCAAUCCCAUGUCCCCCAGGGAGAAUGGGGCAUUCGGGAAGCCCCCCGCCUCGCCUAGGUCCCCCUCGGGGGCCGCCGGAGCCGAGGGGAGGUCCAGGGAGGACGCCUUCAUCGAGAAGGUGACCAUUUGCUGCACGGUGUACGACUUCACCGACCGGGGCAAGGACUCGCCGGAGAAGGAGAGGAAGCGGCAGGUCCUUAUGUCCCUCGUCGACUCCAUUGGCGCCGCCGAGGAGCCCCUCACGGAGGCGAUGAUGUCGGCGUGCGUGCGCAUGUUCGCUGUCAACCUCUUCAGGGUCUUCCCGCCCAAGGUCCGAUCAGGCACCACCACGUCGGAGACAGAGGAGGACGAGCCCUUCUUCGACCCCUCUUGGUACCACCUGCAAGUUGUGUAUGAAUUGCUUCUGCGGUUUGUGACCUCGCCAUUUGUUGACCCCAAGGUGGCAAGGAAGUAUGUGGACAGUUCGUUCAUCUCCAAGCUGCUUGACCUGUUUGAUUCCGAUGAUCCCAGAGAGAGGGACUGUUUGAAGACAGUGUUGCACAGGAUAUAUGGAAAAUUCAUGGGAAACCGACCGUUCAUCCGCAAGGCUGUGAGCAACAUCUUCUAUAGGUUCGUCUCCGAGGCCGAUCAUCACAAUGGGAUAUCCGAGCUGUUGGAGGUGUUUGGCAGCGUGAUAAGUGGGUUUGCAAAGCCAUUGAAGGAGGAGCAUAAGUUGUUCCUAUGGAAAGCGUUGAUCCCGCUUCACAAGCCUAAGACAGUGGGUGUAUAUCUGCCGCAGCUGACCUACUGCAUAACACAAUUUAUAGAGAAGGAACCCAAGCUUGCAGGGACUGUGAUUAGGGGUCUGUUGAAGUACUGGCCAGUUACAAAUAGUCAGAAGGAGAUGAUGUUCUUGGGGGAGUUAGAAGAAGUGCUUGAGUUGAUUGACAUGGCUGAGUUUCAGAAGUGCAUGGUGCCAUUAUUCCGGAGGAUUGCGACUUGCCUCAAUAGCUCCCAUUUUCAGGUUGCUGAGAGAGCCUUAUUCUUGUGGAAUAAUGAACAUUUGUUCGAUAUGAUCUCCCAAAACCGUCAAGUGAUUGUACCAAUCGUAUACCCAGCUCUGGAGAGAAAUGCACGUUUGCACUGGAACCAAUCGGUUCUCAACGUUACUAUGAAUGUGAGAAAAAUGUUCUUCGACAUGGACGAGAGAUUGCUCCUGACUUGCCAGAGCAACUUCCAAGCGGACGAAGAGAAGCGAGCCGCAGCGGAGGAGCAUCGAAGGCUCACAUGGGAGCAACUGGAGCGGAAUGCCGACCCUGCAUUCCGACCAGCCAACGCGCCCCCUUCUUCGGCCCCUCCGAGAGUCCCCACCGUGACAUGA
rnacentral:rRNA from 1 species